rnacentral:rRNA from 1 species
UACAGAGGUCCCAAGCGUUGUUCGGAUUCACUGGGCGUAAAGGGUGCAUAGGCGGUCGGGUAAGUCUGAUGUGAAAUCUCACAGCUUAACUGUGAAACUGCAUUUGAUACUCUGGAGCUUGAGUACGGGAGAGGAUAGUGGAAUUCCCAGUGUAGAGGUGAAAUUCGUAGAUAUUGGGAAGAACACCGGUGGCGAAGGCGGCUCUCUGGACCGUAACUGACGCUGAGGCGCGAAAGCGUGGGGAGCAAACAGG